AGUUGUCUUCUUCUUUCCUCUUUGUUUUCUCCUUCUUUCAUCUUAUAUCUGAAAUCGAGAGAGAGGGACAGGGACGGUGAGAGAGAUAAGCAGAGAGAGACAGAGAGUAAUUGAGAGAUCGAGAGAUCCGAGAAAGAGAGAGAGAGUGAGAGAUCGGGAGAAAGAAAGAGAUCAACGGGAGAGAGAGAGAGAGAGAGAGAGAGAGAGGACCCGAUCGUUGGUGGGUUUGUGCAGAGAAGGCCGAAGGUGCUAUUCCCUGCCAACUGUAGAGGACCCGUAGCAGACCCAUGCCGAAAUAGAACCGGUUUCCGGUGGGUUCGACAGUGAGAUGAUUUUUGGUAGAUUUUCUAUAAAAACUCUCAAGGUAAAAGCUCGACCCCGAUGCUAAUGGCCGGUCCAGAUAACACAAUAAGACGGAGUCAUUUCUUUGUAAUGGCGUAGACCUCGCUAAGAGCAAUAAAAUUGUUGGGGGACUGAUGUGACUUUUGUAUUGUAUAGUAUGUUUCCCUUUUGAGAUUUAUAGCUUUGUAAAGAGCUACUCUUAUGUACAUAUAAAUAAAAUAGAUGAUUAAGGUCUAUAUUUGAAGAUGUGUGCUUUAUGUAAAUGUAUUUUUUAGGCUCAAGUUCGUGUUCCCCUUAUAUCCCAAAUUGGAGGCGUGACAUGUAGUAAUGUCAUGUAAUUAAUCAGAUUUAAUUACUUACGCUUUUUAUAAAAAGCAGAGCGUUACACGUAUGCUUGGAUUUCCCAAAGGUCUGGAAAGCUUAUGUACGAGUAUAGCUGAGUUAUAAUGUCUCUUGUUCCUUGCUUAAAUGUAUUCGUAUGCUUGUAUUUCCCGAAGGUUUGGAAAGCUUGUAUACGAGUAUA